UACGGAGGGUGCAAGCGUUAUCCGGAUUUACUGGGUUUAAAGGGUGCGUAGGCGGGUUGGUAAGUCAGUGGUGAAAGCCCCGGGCCUAACUCGGGAACUGCCAUUGAUACUAUCAAUCUUGAAUUCAGUUGAGGUGGGCGGAAUGUGUCGUGUAGCGGUGAAAUGCUUAGAUAUGACACAGAACACCAAUUGCGAAGGCAGCUCGCUAAACUGACAUUGACGCUGAGGCACGAAAGCGUGGGGAUCAAACAGG
rnacentral:rRNA from 1 species